AGGUCCGCUUCUAUAAUGCAGUCGAGCGGGGUUAUUUAGAAGCUUGCUUCUAACUAACCUAGCGGCGGACGGGUGAGUAACACGUAGGCAACCUGCCCACAAGACAGGGAUAACUACCGGAAACGGUAGCUAAUACCCGAUACAUCCUUUUCCUGCAUGGGAGAAGGAGGAAAGGCGGAGCAAUCUGUCACUUGUGGAUGGGCCUGCGGCGCAUUAGCUAGUUGGUGGGGUAAAGGCCUACCAAGGCGACGAUGCGUAGCCGACCUGAGAGGGUGAUCGGCUCAACUGGGACUGAGACACGGCCCAGACUCCUACGGGAGGCAGCAGUAGGGAAUCUUCCGCAAUGGGCGAAAGCCUGACGGAGCAACGCCGCGUGAGUGAUGAAGGUUUUCGGAUCGUAAAGCUCUGUUGCCAGGGAAGAACGUCUUGUAGAGUAACUGCUACAAGAGUGACGGUACCUGAGAAGAAAGCCCCGGCUAACUACGUGCCAGCCGCCGCGGGUAAUAU
rnacentral:rRNA from 1 species